rnacentral:misc_RNA from 1 species
GUUCCAUUCUGGUUCACCCAUAAAAGCAUGGGCUCCUCGAUAUCUUUUACAGUAACUCCACUUCCUGGUCAAAAUAUCUGCGGCUUAAACUUAUGCACGUUAUACUCACGCGGUGAUCAGGUAUCUUUUUUUCAUGGCGCUGGUUAUUAUGCCAAAAUCAAUAAUGAAACCAAGGGUAUAAACUGGACUUAUAGUCCAACCUUCUACGGAAUCCCAGAAGAUGAUGAGGA